UUUUCUUGUUCCCAGGAGGUGAUCAGAGUUAGGAAUUACACUUACUGACCUGGACCUCGCGUUUUUGCGGAGACGCGGAAACAAGAUGUGUGCAGUCCGUCUGUCCAAUGAUUAGCCAGCCGACCUGGAGAGGGCCCUGGAAGGUGCCCAAAGGCAAGUCCGGUUCCGUCCCUCCUAGGGUCCAGGACAGCCCGCGCCGCGCGGGCCGGCAGCCGGAGCAGUCAGAGCGGCUGGGCGGUUGGCGCUGCCGGGUCUGCUGCCGACCUCUCAGGCCAAGCGCGCCUGGGCACCGCACUCACUCGCGGGGUGGGCGGGUGAAGGUGGGAGGAUCAGAGAUGGGAGCGUGGGGAGGGGGGCAAACCCCACCCUUAAACACAAGAAAACAGGUGCAGAGGCUGCGGGCGAUGGUCCUGCAGGGGAGGGGACUGGAGGAGAAGUUUUGGUGGCGAGGGAGCAGGAACAGUGUCCAGGGUCUCUCAGCCGCCUCCCGGGCUUGCAAGCCCGCUCAGCCAGACCUUACCCAGAGGGGCGCCCCCUCGCGGGUCCCCAGCCACCACCUGCAGCUGCUGCUGUCACCUGCUGUGCCACCCCCAAGUUUGAUACUCUGGGCGUUUGCGCCACCCCUACCUCCCUUCCCUUCCACGAAUCUCUCCCUUUGCUCUCUAACCCCCAGUUCCGCAAGAGAUGGCCCGGCGAAGACAGACCUCCUGGACUUGAGGCCGACUUCACCAAAUCCGCCCCGGGAAAAGGCGAGGGCAAAGGCGGGGCGGACAGACCCAGCUGCGGCUGAGGGACUGAGGUCCCUAGCAAGGCAGGAGCAGAGAUGGGGAGCUGGAUCCGCGCAGAACCCCGGAAAAGCGCCAGCAGGAUUGCACCGAGAACAAAUCCUCCGCACCCUCGCCCAGGGCUGGGGCGCAGUGCGCUGGUGCUCCUCUAGCUGGGCGGUCCCUGUGCUCCAAACAAGAAGAUAGCUGACUUCCGGAUCCUUCACUCUUUGAUCCUGACCCAAGCCACUCGUGCCACUAGGAGCGCAUGCCUAUGGAAUACUCGCUCCUGUCUCCUUGUGGUGAAGCCUUCCGCUAAUGCCCAGAGCCUCCCAGGCUGGAUUAGUGGGUAGGAGCAAAACAGGAUAGUGGAGACAAUCAGCAGAGCAGCAGCGUCUAUUUCCUCGGGAUUCCUCCCAGGAACCCUAUUCGAAGCCAUUCCUUCUAAAAGUUUGCAGCCAGUCUCUCUUUCCUUUGUUGGUUUUAAGAGGAGGCAGUAGAGCUACCUACAUACAAAAACGAAAGCCUGAUACUGGUAACCUAAGUCUUUACUUAACCAUCCUCUUCGGAGGCUUUGCACACAUUACUUUUCCUCUAUGCAUUGUCAUUUCUGAAAUAAGGAUGGUCAUACUGGUGUGCUUGGAAUUUCUCUGAAAUAUACUCCUAAAAGAUUAGAUUAAGAUUAGAUUCCGCUACUCUAAAAUGAAAAAAUAUAUUUAUCUGUUUAAAAAGGUAAUACAUAUUCUCCAAGAUGUUAAUUAAAGGCUUCUCUCAAAUGGAUUGGAUUUUCAGUUCCUUCAGGGUUUUCCACACCCUAAUAGUAUUGCAUUUGUAAGGCAUUUUUACAGUGUAACCUGAAAUUAAUCUUCAGUUAAUAUAGAAUUAUGCCCACAGGAGUAUUGGAAUUCUUUAUAAAACAAAGCAGCCUGGGCUUUUCAAAUACCUAGAAACAAAGGUAAACAGAAAUGGAAAUGUUUAACAUGUUCUACACAGUUCCACUUAAAGUCUUUUAGUAGUUGUUUUUGUUUUGUUUUGUUUUGUUUGUUUUUUCCUUAAGAAAGUACUCUUUGCCCAAAUAUGUGUUAUGUGUGACAGGUUCCAUUCUUCUCAAUAUAUCUGCAUUGGUGAAGAAUGAACCAUAUACCAAUAAGUUAUAACUUUAAAAGAGUAGAAAUGGAUUUAAACAAUGACCACAAAAACAAAUCAAAUAUCCAGCAAAACAGAUGAGUGUUGUCUUUUAGGGCAAUUGCUUUGGAAAAUUCAACUGAUUUCACUGACAUUGAUUGCACAAAACACAUUUUAUCUCCUUUGAAAUUGCCUUUCAGAAGCGUAUUAGCAGCCAUAACCAACUAUUUGCCUCACUCUCUUAUAGACGUGUGUUUGUCUUAGUAGAUUCAUAUAGUUCCACAGACAUCUAGUCAGCAACCUCAAAAGAGUAAAUGGUCUCUAUGAUUAAUGUCCUUUAAUAAAGUUCAGAAUUGGAUGAGAAACUGAUAAACUGAAAUGAAAGUCACUUCAUAGUGUAUCAUAUUAUCAAGGAGAGCUGUGGGAAUUAGCUUAUGACACUUUUGUGCAUCACAGUCUAAUUCAUAUCCUUAAAUGUGCAUACAUAUCCUGUGUAUUGUAGUAACAAUGAACCACUCUGAUGAAUGUCCAUAAACCCAGUUGUGACACUGACAGGAGUUUGGGAGUUUGUGGAAGUGGUGGUGAAAUAUCGAUUAAUCCAAAUUGAAAUAGGACAAGAUUAUUGAUGCUUGAUUUCUUUUGUAUCAAAUCAUUUAGUUGCUCAGGAAAUUCUAACCAGAAUAUGUGCUGUGACUGCUCUUCAAAUAGACAACAGACUCAAACUCAGAUGCCUGCAUGGUUAGGGCCAAUGACAUAAAUGGACCAGCAUGCUAGGUUGUAGGAGAGAGUGGAAAAUGUUGAUUGCCAUAACACCUUGAAGAGCACAAAAGCACAUGCUAUAGCUAAAUGGGGAGAUUGCUUCUCAGAUUACACUCAGCUGGCCUGCAAAAAUCUUGAUUCAGUAUUCUCAGAUACGAUUUUUAAGAGAAGCAAAAUCCAUAUUGUUAAAAAUCUUCUGAAUUUUAAAUAAACCAAAUUAAUUUUUAAAAAUCCAAAACUCCUAGUGGACAGGCCAAAAUAAAUAAGAAAUCAUAGAUAGAUAGAUAGAUAGAUAGAUAGAUAGAUAGAUAGAUAGAUGAUAGAUAGAUAGAUAGAUAGAUAGAUAGAUAGAUAGAUAGAUAGCAGCCUGACUCAUCAUGGGCCUCCAAUAUUGUAACCUGUUACAUUAAUAUUUGAUGUCUGACAAAUCUCCUUAAAUAUUUAAAACAUAGUUCUACUACCAUUUCCCCUACCCCAUAGACCAUUUCUCAAUGCACAGAAAUACAAAAGGAAUACAGCCAAAGAUUAGUUGCCAAAUAAGUAAUUUUCUUUUCCAUUUCUGGUUGAAUAGAUAUUCCCAAGGAGACUCUGAAGUAAGAGAUUUGUUGAAUAACUGAACAAUCCAAAUAUUUUAGAUAGCUAGAUGAAAUUUCAGAAAAGCUCUCCAUUAAAAAAGUUCAAUAAUAUCAGUAUUGAGGACCACUUGUGAUACAUACUUAUUAGAUAAAGAAAAUCAUGAUACAGAUUUCCAUCAUUGUAAUUUCAUUUUAACAGCAAAGAUGCUUCCCCCAU
rnacentral:lncRNA from 1 species